rnacentral:rRNA from 1 species
UGGGGAAUAUUGCACAAUGGGCGCAAGCCUGAUGCAGCCAUGCCGCGUGUGUGAAGAAGGCCUCGGGUUGUAAAGCACUUUCAGCGAGGAGGAAGGUGGUGGACUUAAUACGUUCAUCAAUUGACGUUACUCGCAGAAGAAGCACCGGCUAACUCCGUGCCAGCAGCCGCGGUAAUACGGAGGGUGCAAGCGUUAAUCGGAAUUACUGGGCGUAAAGCGCACGCAGGCGGUUUGUUAAGUCAGAUGUGAAAUCCCCGGGGCUCAACCUGGGAACUGCAUUUGAAACUGGCAAGCUAGAGUCUCGUAGAGGGGGGUAGAAUUCCAGGUGUAGCGGUGAAAUGCGUAGAGAUCUGGAGGAAUACCGGUGGCGAAGGCGGCCCCCUGGACGAAGACUGACGCUCAGGUGCGAAAGGCGUGGGGCAGCAAACAGGAUUAGAUACCCCUGGUAGUCCACGCUGUAAAACGAUGUCGA